AUCCCAUGAUGAGGACACUUACGAAGUAACUGCUUGAAUCGCUCCCAAGCCUCACACAAAGACUUAUCAUCUAGUUACUCGAAAGUUGUGAUCUCGUUCCUCAACUU
rnacentral:snoRNA from 1 species